GUUAACGUAGCUUAACUAAAGCAUAACACUGAAGAUGUUAAGAUAGACCCUAGAAAGGUCUCGUAAGCA
rnacentral:tRNA from 1 species